rnacentral:piRNA from 1 species
GGAAUUAAUUCUACUCCUACCGGUCUAAAGU